CCUACGGGAGGCAUCAGUAGGGAAUAUUGCUCAAUGGGGGAAACCCUGAAGCAGCAACGCCGCGUGGAGGAUGAAGGUUUUCGGAUUGUAAACUCCUUUUGUUAGAGAAGAUAAUGACGGUAUCUAACGAAUAAGCACCGGCUAACUCCGUGCCAGCAGCCGCGGUCAUACGGAGGGUGCAAGCGUUACUCGGAAUCACUGGGAGUAAGGAGCGCGUAGGCGGGAUAGCAAGUCAGAUGUGAAGUCCUAUGGCUUAACCGUAGAACUGCAUUUGAAACUGUUAUUCUAGAGUAUGGGAGAGGUAGGUGGAAUUCUUGGUGUAGGGGUAAAAUCCGUAGAGAUCAAGAGGAAUACUCAUUGCGAAGGCGACCUGCUAGAACAUAACUGACGCUGAUGCGCGAAAGCGUGGGGAGCAAACAGGAUUAGAUACCCGUGUAGUC
rnacentral:rRNA from 1 species